rnacentral:rRNA from 1 species
AACGAACGCUGACGGCAGGCCUAACACAUGCAAGUCGAACGCCCCGCAAGGGGAGUGGCAGACGGGUGAGUAACACGUGGGAACCUUCCCUAUACUACGGAAUAGCCCAGGGAAACUUGGAGUAAUACCGUAUACGCCCGAGAGGGGAAAGAUUUAUCGGUAUAGGAUGGGCCCGCGUAGGAUUAGCUAGUUGGUGAGGUAAUGGCUCACCAAGGCGACGAUCCUUAGCUGGUCUGAGAGGACGACCAGCCACACUGGGACUGAGACACGGCCCAGACUCCUACGGGAGGCAGCAGUGGGGAAUAUUGGACAAUGGGCGCAAGCCUGAUCCAGCCAUGCCGCGUGAGUGAUGAAGGCCUUAGGGUUGUAAAGCUCUUUUGCCGGGGACGAUAAUGACGGUACCCGGAGAAUAAGUCCCGGCUAACUUCGUGCCAGCCGCCGCCGUAAGAC